GGCAUAGUGGCUACAGCAUGGGGCUGGGAGUCCAAAGGACAUGGGUUCUAAUCCCAGCUCUGCCA
rnacentral:tRNA from 1 species